rnacentral:rRNA from 1 species
UACGUAGGGCGCAAGCGUUAUCCGGAAUUAUUGGGCGUAAAGAGCUCGUAGGCGGUUUGUCGCGUCUGCCGUGAAAGUCCGGGGCUCAACUCCGGAUCUGCGGUGGGUACGGGCAGACUAGAGUGAUGUAGGGGAGACUGGAAUUCCUGGUGUAGCGGUGAAAUGCGCAGAUAUCAGGAGGAACACCGGUGUGGAAGGCGGGUCUCUGGGCCAUAACUGACGCUGAGGAGCGAAAGCGUGGGGAGCGAACAGGAUUAGAACCGGUACCGU